rnacentral:misc_RNA from 1 species
AACCAUUCUCACCUGCGGCUAGACCUGCGGAAGGAUCAUUAAAAAAACUUUUUUUGUUCCUCGCGAACCUUCCGCGGUCCGAGGCCAAAAAAAAACCCACACUGUGUGCACCGUUACCGUUUUCUUUGGCAGGGGCUUGGGGUUGUGUUUCUCGCACACCUCAACUUCUCCUCUGGCUCCAUCCCAAUGUUUAAAUAAUCCUUUUCGCGAGGGUUUUUUUUAUUGGGACAGCCGGACAUG